rnacentral:RNase_P_RNA from 1 species
GUUUUCGGAUAAUCGCGCGAUUUUUUUGAGUCGUGAGGAAAGUCCAUGCUCGCACGGACUGAGAUGUCCGUAGUGUUUGUGCUAGGUGAAACAAUAAACCUGGGUAGGAGCGUCAUGCCUAACGGCUGGCCAAAGCGCUAAGUCUUUUGAUAUGCGUAAGUAAGCCUGUAAAAGUGCCAUAGAGACGAGACUUAGAGGAAACUCUAAGAAUGGAACGUGGUAAACCCCUCAAGCGAGCAACCCAAACUUAUGGUCGGGGCACUUGACUAGCCGAAAUGAAGGCGUGGUCGAGGCUAAAAUCUUAUAUUUUAGCAGACAGAUGGUUAUCGAAGGUCGUAGAGACCGGAACAAAACAUGGCUUAUAGAA